rnacentral:lncRNA from 1 species
GCCGGCCUUCCUCCGAUCUACACCUCCACUCUAUCUCUCUCAAUCUAGUAAAAACUAGAAGAUCUAUUUCUACUUACAUUGGUUGCUAAGCCUAAAAAGAAAUAUUAUUUAGAGAAGAGGUUUUCCUUCGAGGGCACCCCUCAAUCUCUAUGAUAAUUUCUUGUCUUCUCCAGGGGCCGGGGGGGUCUCCUUAUAUAGUCCUCCUCCUCUAUGCAUUUUUGGUUCAGCAGGCGAUGUGGUACUAAACUUUCCACCAUAUCUCAUUAAAAUGCACAUAGGCCUUAAUGGACCAAAAUCUGAUUUGGGCCCAAUUAAUCCCGCAGCUCUUUUAUAUGGAGUCCUUCUUUUAUUAAUAUCUAUUGAUUCCGAACUCCAAAUAUAGCAAAUAAUAUAUGCAUUUCGAUCAGCUCGACGAGAUCUUUGCAAUGGUGUACUCCAUUCUGUGAUUGGUGGAAACACCUGGGCGGGCGCCCAAGGGGAGAGGGCGGGCGCCCUGCCCCCGGGCCGGUUCGGCCUCCCGUUCGUUCCCGUGGCUUCUGGAGUCUUCUAGAUGAUAGAAAAUUGCGCGGCACGUUAAUAUCUCUAUGUAAUCCCGACGUGUGGGCCUUUCUUCCAUAUUUCCUGAUAACCCCCUGUAGAAAUAGACAAACACCAAAACUCGUGGAAUUCUGUCAGAUAAAACCUUAGGUCUGGGUGUUGGUUGCAUUUGGAUCCUUUUCUUUAUUUAUUUGAUAAUUAAAUUUGAUACUUAAGGACCGUCAACAAACUCCCCCAAGCUUACCUCUUGCUCGUCCCUGAGCAAGGAUGAACUCAAGAGUUUCUGCAGUGGUUUCAUUUCUUAAAGGUACACACGCAUUCAAGCAAGAUCUCAUCUCUGAGUUAGAAUAAACUUUUAAGACUUAAAACUUACUCAUUUUACCUUUCACCAUGGGGCUUGUAACCGUCACUUGUGUCUUGAGCAGUUAAAAGAUAGAACGGUCAAGUCAAGCGCCAUGUCUCUUAUUCUUGAUCAGCUAUAGCUCUGGGGUUUUUUGCAGAUUUUCAAAUAAAACUCAGAGAUUCAUUAUAUGACUCUCUUAGAUCUCUCUUUUGUGGUAUUUUUGGAUCCUUACCAAGACAGUAAUGGUAUAUGCCUUCUCUCAAAGUAUGUGGUAUUUUUGGUAUGAGACAUAGUGAUAUUGCCUUCUCUCUCACCCUACUCUAAUAAGGUUCUGAUAUCUGGAGCUCAUAGGUGGGAGACAGCUAAUACAUACUUACAAGACAUUUAUUGCAUAGUCAAACCAUGGAUCCAGAAGAACAAGUCAAUAAGUCAAAUCAAGAUGUGCAUGUGUGGCGAGUGAAUGGUAUAUGGUGAUGAUGGUGAAAACAAUGGUGAAAGUCUAAUUCUACUUUUGCUCUUUUAAGGGGAUACAUACCUUUCUUGCACUUUGAAGCUUUUUGGGGAGAAUGAGAUUCUCUAUAUUUUAUUUUUCUUUCCUCUCAGGUGGGUAUCUUGUACCCCUAAUUCUACUGUCGGACACUUGUCCAUUUUUACCUCUCGUCUCACUUUUUCUUUUCUUCGAGGUUCUGGGCACUUGCCCCUUUUUAUUUCCUCGUAUUAUUUUUUUUUCUCUUUUUUUUUCUUUUUCUUUUUUUUAGAGCACUCAUCUCCUGAAUGAAUGUAGCAAGUGGUAGUAACCAAAAUAAUUGGAGCAUUUAUUUCACAGGGAAUAAUAGGGAUAGGAUAAUGUUUUUGGCUAUUCUCUCCCGGAUUAGGAGUAGAAUAAUUUUGCGUGAAUCUAGAGAUGGAAAUGAGUGGAUAUAUGUGGAUGGUACUUCCAGAGUAGAAGUAGCAUGUAUGAGUGAACAUGCAAGUGAAUCUUGAUUUUAACAUGACAAGCUCCUAAGGGUCUACACAGCUUGACCACACUCAAUGCUCAUAAGCAGUAAAAAGUAAAUAUGUGGCUCAAAGUCUAGCAAGCAUGUAUAUAUGGCUGUGGUAGGAAUUUAAACUCUCAUCAUAUAGGAACUCAUCAUAUGUUAUUUUAAAGAUUUUUUAAAGAUAAAAUUCUCCAGAAUUCUAGCAUCUCUAGGAACAGAUAAACAGCAGCUCAACCUUCCCAUAUCAUAUCCGUUAACAACUUAGACUUUAGAUCAAGUACUCUUCCUACAAGUUCAGGUUUAGAGCAAAUCUUAAUUCAUAACAGUUAUGCCUAAACUUGAGAGAGAUUUCAAUUUUAAGAACUAGUCAUGGCAGAGCAACUAUUCAUCAUUUCCAUGUGAGAGCUUAUCAUGAGGGUUCAUAGCAAACUUUAUUUAUUUAUUUAUUUAGCAAACUAAGAAAAGAUAUAUAUAUAAAAGCACAAAAUCUUUAUUUGGGUUUUCAUGAUUAUGCAUCUUUUAUUAUUUGAGUAAAGUAUAAACACGAGUAGAAACACUUAGCUGGAUAAAUGGGGGUGCUCUCCCCCAAGCUGGAUUUUGACGUAAUUUGUUCUGAUGUAGCUAGCAGGUGGCAGAGGUGUAUUUGAAAGUCAGCAGCAUUCUGACAGCGAUUAGAAUGUCCUCCGUCUGCUAGUCUUCUUGAUUCUUAAAUUCUGUAGAGCUCAAAUAGACAACAAAACUUUGUGGAACUGGUUAAGUGUUAGCAUAAAUAUCUAGCCUUUAUCAUGUUGAGCCUCCUCAAUAAAUAUUACUUAUUUAGCAGGAUCAUGCACUUAUUAUUUUUAUAUUUUUAUUGUAAGAUGAAAACAUAUUUAUUUUAUGCCACCACAGUGAAUGUACCUAUGGGUUCUAUGCCAUGAGCAUACUUACAUGGGGCUUACUAUUUUUUAACAUUUUUAUUUUCUUUUCCAGAUAGCAUGAACCUGAUUAACUAAGCAAACUAUAAUUGAAUAAUUGAAAGGAAAAAGAUAACUACCAAGUUUACCUCUUGGCAAGGUGUUCGGUGUUUUUAAGUCCUCCGAACGGGACUCUUCGUUUUCUUAGUCGUCCUGGGAUUCGCUAGGUGGCGUAGUCGGUGAUUCCGGCGGCGCCUCCUCUUCGUGUAUAACUAUCUUCUCCCUCCACACCUGACUCGGCGCUAACGGUCUCCUCAGGACAGUUCUGUUCAAGCUAUAUGUCUUCAGACCUUAUCACUUCUCCUUCGUAGUCUACCCAUCCGUCCUUGAUGAUUUGCCUCCUCUGGUUGCGGUUGCGUUGUCUUCUUCUUGUCCUGACCUGCUUAAAAUCUUCAACUAUAUAGUUAGAAUCAUUAAAGUAGUGGCGUAGCUUCUCAGAGGGAAAGUGCAUGUGGACAUCUCCAGUUCCAAUGUAGAUGAUUGCUUUGAUAGUGUUGAGGAACGGUCUUCCAAGGAUGGUGGGUGCAUCAUACUCGUCUUCUCCCAUGUCAAUGACCUGAAAAUCAUCUAGAGCUGAAUGUAUGUUGUUUGUAGGGGCAUGGUUCCAUGCAGGAGCUGAUAAGUGGCUGCGGCCAUUAUGUUGACGUCAGAUCUGGUGUCGUAGAGUAUCUUCUAAAAAGAGUAUCCAUUGAUUGUGCACUCAAUGCUUGGAACACCAGGGUCGUCCUUCUUGAUCAAGAAAGGUGACUUGAGUCGACGAUCUUGACCUCCUCGGACAAGGAUCCAAUGGUUUAAGUCUUCUGGACAAGACUUCUCACCGUCUUCAUCCUUUAGGUGAACAAUUUGAUUAGGUGUGGACCUUGCCGUCUGCACCUCUUGAUACGGAGUCACCUAUAUUCUUUGUUUGCCCAGCAGUUCGAAGUGUGGUGUUGGCAAUAUCCUGCUCAGUGUGUUUGUGCUCAUAGAUCCAAGUCCUUCUCUUGGUGGAGUCUGGGAGUUGUAAAACUCCUUCAGGUUUUGUUCGAAGUAUACUUGUUCAUAGAGACAAGGCAGAGAUCAAGUGCAUGGGCUCUGUUGGUGGAAAACACCAACAGAACCAAAAGUGUAUUUGUUCUUCUCUAACCUUAAGCAUAGUGAGCAAGACAAAGUUGAUGGAUAAUAAGAUCAUGAAUGUAGUAUUUGAAACAUUUGUCAGAUCAGAUGGCUCAACCUAAUGGAAAGAUAGUCUAUCUAUAUUUAUGUUUUGUUUAUAUCUUCCAAAGAUUGAAUGUGCAGCAUAUUAGCUUAUAUGAUUAGGAGUGUG